UAGGUGUACCAUGGUGAUUCAGGAUACUGAAUCCAGUACUCACCGAUAUGGUUUCGGAAUCGGAACAACUCUAGGUAAAAGGAAAGAAGUGUGAGACACAGCUUUGGAGCAACUUAGUUGAUUCACAACGCUACAUAAGAGGUUCUCCCUCUGCGUGUUUCGCGCUGGAUGACGGUCGUGCUGAGCGGUGCAGAAAACUACAAAGAAGUAGUCCAGAAGCGUGUUGCUUACCUCAAGUGGGGGAUAUAUGGUCUUCCUUCGGUCAGUCUGGCCAGGAGAAGGGGGUGCUGAAGCAAGGAAUGACCUCUGGUUCACAGAUGGCCAAGAUGGGCGAACAGCUCAACAGGGACCUCAAACGGCAACCUACAAGACAACAAAGUUCUACUCCUGCUAGAUAUCAGUCUGAUUCCGACGACACAUGUUGUGAUAUUUUUGAUCCAC